UUGUGCCAGGGCCGCCUUGGUACCGUGUUAGGCCCCGCGUCAAUCAUCCAAACAUCAACAGAGCGAAGAGGAAACAGUCGGUACAGUACACUCCGGCCUCAACACCCCCAAAAUAUCCGCUCUUUUGUGUGGGAGUGUGCUAUCCACGUGUCUAUAUCGUCCUGUUGAUUUUCACAGGGCCUUGCUGUUUCCCCUCCGGCUCCUGUUCCUCAGUGUGUGCGUCUUGCGAGAGUCUUCCACAUCUGGGCUUCAGACAACAUGGCUACAGCCCUCAGGGUCUGAGACCUGAGCUGUCAGCGUCUCAUCCAAACCUGCAGAGGUUCACACAGGAAACUUCUGACUUGAUUAUGAUGGGUUAGCAGCAUGCUGAAGUCACCAUGUUACCAGAGGGAGUGACCAGACUGCUGACUGGGGGAAGGGAAACAUGGCUGGUGCUGUUGCUAGGCGUGGUCCUCUGCAUCGGGCUGGACGUUGCCGGGGGAGACAGUUGCCCUGCCGACCGGAAACCUGUGGUCUCAUAUGAAGACUUGUCCCCCCUGCA